rnacentral:rRNA from 1 species
UGACAGCCCCGUACACAAAAGCGCAUGUGCUGUGAGCUCGAUGAGUAGGGCGGGACACGUGGUAUCCUGUCUGAAUAUGGGGGGACCAUCCUCCAAGGCUAAAUACUCCUGACUGACCGAUAGUGAACCAGUACCGUGAGGGAAAGGCGAAAAGAACCCCGGCGAGGGGAGUGAAAAAGAACCUGAAACCGUGUACGUACAAGCAGUGGGAGCAC